AUCCGGAUGACUAGUCCUAAAAAGGACGAAACGAGUGUCCUGGAU
rnacentral:hammerhead_ribozyme from 1 species